GAUGAAGAACGUAGUGAAAUGCGAUACUUGGUGUGAAUUGCAGAAUCCCGUGAACCAUCGAGUCUUUGAACGCAAGUUGCGCCCGAAGCCAUCAGGUUGAGGGCACGUCUGCCUGGGCGUCACAUAUCGUUGCCCAAUGCCUAUUGCAGUGCAAUAGGAAUUUCUAGGGCGAAUGAUGGCUUCCCGUGAGCGUUGUUCCUCGCGGUUGGUUGAAAAUCGAGUCCUUGGUAGGGUGUGCCUUGGUAGAUGGUGGUCGAGUUAGAACGAUACCGAUCAUGUGCAUGCUCCCCAAAAUAUGGCCUCUAUGACCCACACGCGUCUUUUGACGCUCAUGACGAGACCUCAGGUCAGGCGGGGCUACCCGCUGAAUUUAAGCAUAUCAAUAAGCGGAGGA
rnacentral:misc_RNA from 1 species